rnacentral:lncRNA from 1 species
AAAGGAAAUCUGAUGUUCUUCAUUAGCUUUGCAGCAUACUCCAUUCGAGGCUCUUCAAACCGCAGCCAGCGACAAGCCGCCUUGAAGAGUUCAAGUUCAGUGCAGUGCUUAAGGCUAUUACUUGAAAGCACAAAGGCAAGACGUUCAAAGGGGAGUUUCACAAAUUCACCAGUACUUAAUAAUGCAGGGAAGUUCUUUAGGAUGAAAUUAUUAACAUAUUUAUCCACUUCUGUGAGAUUGUAUGUGUUGGCAAUUCGCCCAACCUCAACACAGUUUUCCAAGGAAACCCCAGAGAUAAGAAACACUUUACAGAAGUCCAAAA